CCCUCAUCGUGGCAGGGGUCGGCGGGCGCCGGCGGCCCAGGACUCAGGGCGGCGAAGAGCGUGCCUGCCGUCAGCAGCAGCCCCCAGGGCCAGCCAGGCAUGGCCUCUGGCCAGUGGGUCCGGGGUCCGCGUACCAGGCAUGCAGCAGCCGACGGCAAACGCGCAGGCUCUGCUCCAAUUGCAAUUGUCGCUGUGCGCAGGCGUCCAGGGCGCCCUGCAGCUCGGCCACCAGCCU
rnacentral:lncRNA from 1 species